rnacentral:rRNA from 1 species
UGGGGAAUUUUGCACAAUGGGGGAAACCCUGAUGCAGCGACGCCGCGUGAUUUAGAAGGCCUUCGGGUUGUAAAAAUCUUUUGUAUGGGAAGAAAAUGACAGUACCAUACGAAUAAGGACCGGCUAAUUACGUGCCAGCAGCCGCGGUAAUACGUAAGGUCCGAGCGUUGUCCGGAAUCAUUGGGCGUAAAGGGUACGUAGGCGGAUAAGCAAGUUAGAAGUGAAAUCCUAUAGCUCAACUAUAGUAAGCUUUUAAAACUGCUCAUCUUGAGGUAUGGAAGGGAAAGUGGAAGUCCUAGUGUAGCGGUGAAAUGCGCAGAUAUUAGGAGGAAUACCGGUGGCGAAGGCGACUUUCUGGCCAUAAACUGACGCUGAGGUACGAAAGCGUGGGUAGCAAACAGG